rnacentral:rRNA from 1 species
GACGAACGCUGGCGGCGUGCCUAAUACAUGCAAGUUGAGCGAUGAAGAUUGGUGCUUGCACCAAUUUGAAGAGCAGCGAACGGGUGAGUAACGCGUGGGGAAUCUGCCUUUGAGCGGGGGACAACAUUUGGAAACGAAUGCUAAUACCGCAUAACAACUUUAAACAUAAGUUUUAAGUUUGAAAGAUGCAAUUGCAUCACUCAAAGAUGAUCCCGCGUUGUAUUAGCUAGUUGGUGAGGUAAAGGCUCACCAAGGCGAUGAUACAUAGCCGACCUGAGAGGGUGAUCGGCCACAUUGGGACGGAGACACGGCCCAAACUCCGACGGGAGGCAGCAGUAGGGAAUCUUCGGCAAUGGACGAAAGUCUGACCGAGCAACGCCGCGUGAGUGAAGAAGGUUGUCGGAUCGUAAAACUCUGUUGGUAGAGAAGAACGUUGGUGAGAGUGGAAAGCUCAUCAAGUGACGGUAACUACCCAGAAAGGGACGGCUAACUACGUG